rnacentral:rRNA from 1 species
GACGAGCCACACAAACGUUAUUCGGAAUUACUGGGCUUAAAGGGUGCGUAGGCUGCGCGGAAAGUUGGGUGUGAAAUACCUCGGCUCAACCGAGGAACUGCGCCCAAAACUACCGUGCUCGAGGAAGAUAGAGGUGAGCGGAACUUACGGUGGAGCGGUGAAAUGCGUUGAUAUCGUAAGGAACACCCGUGGCGAAAGCGGCUCACUGGGUCUUAUCUGACGCUGAUGCACGAAAGCGUGGGGAGCAAACAGG